rnacentral:rRNA from 1 species
CCUACGGGAGGCAGCAGUGGGGAAUAUUGGACAAUGGGCGAAAGCCUGAUCCAGCAAUGCCGCGUGAGUGAUGAAGGCCUUAGGGUUGUAAAGCUCUUUUACCAGGGAUGAUAAUGACAGUACCUGGAGAAUAAGCUCCGGCUAACUCCGUGCCAGCAGCCGCGGUAAUACGGAGGGAGCUAGCGUUGUUCGGAAUUACUGGGCGUAAAGCGUACGUAGGCGGUUAUUCAAGUCAGAGGUGAAAGCCUGGAGCUCAACUCCAGAACUGCCUUUGAAACUAGAUAGCUAGAAUCUUGGAGAGGUGAGUGGAAUUCCGAGUGUAGAGGUGAAAUUCGUAGAUAUUCGGAAGAACACCAGUGGCGAAGGCGACUCACUGGACAAGUAUUGACGCUGAGGUACGAAAGCGUGGGGAGCAAACAGGAUUAGAUACCCUGGUAGUCCACGCCGUAAACGAUGAUAACUAGCUGUUCGGGCUCUACGAGCUUGAGUGGCGCAGCUAACGCAUUAAGUUAUCCGCCUGGGGAAGUCGGUCGCAAGNUUAAAACGUCAAAGGAAUUGACGG